GACGUAGGGCGCGAGCGUUGUCCGGAUUUAUUGGGCGUAAAGAGCUCGUAGGCGGCUUGUCGCGUCGAAUGUGAAAUCUCAGGGCUCAACUCUGACAUUGCAUUCGAUACGGGCAGGCUCGAGUUCGGUAGGGGAGACUGGAAUUCCUGGUGUAGCGGUGGAAUGCGCAGAUAUCGGGAGGAACACCGGUGGCGAAGGCGGUUCUCUGGGCCUGUACUGACGCUGAGGCGCGAAAGCUAGGGGAGCGAACGGG
rnacentral:rRNA from 1 species